UACGAGGGGGGCAAGCGUUGUUCGGAAUUAUUGGGCGUAAAGGGCGCGUAGGCGGUGCGGUAAGUCACCUGUGAAAACUCUGGGCUCAACUCAGAGCCUGCAGGCGAAACUGCCGUGCUUGAGUGUGGGAGAGGUGCGUGGAAUUCCCGGUGUAGCGGUGAAAUGCGUAGAGAUCCGGAAGAACACCGGUGGCGAAGGCGGCCUGCUGGGUUCUGGCUGACACUGAGGCGCGACAGCGUGGGGAGCAAACAGG
rnacentral:rRNA from 1 species